CGCGGGGUGGAGCAGUGGUAGCUCGUGGGGCUCAUAACCCCAAGGUCGCGGGUUCGACUCCCGCCCCCGCAA
rnacentral:tRNA from 1 species